rfam:Clostridium acidisoli DSM 12555 genome assembly, contig: EJ29DRAFT_scaffold00016.16
UUAAUUGAGAGUUUGAUCCUGGCUCAGGACGAACGCUGGCGGCGUGCUUAACACAUGCAAGUCGAGCGAGAAACCUUCGGGUUUCUAGCGGCGGACGGGUGAGUAACACGUGGGUAACCUGCCUCAAAGUGGGGGAUA